rnacentral:rRNA from 1 species
CUACGGAGGAUCCGAGCGUUAUCCGGAUUUAUUGGGUUUAAAGGGUGCGCAGGCGGCCAUUUAAGUCAGCGGUUAAAUCGUGGGGCUCAACCCCAUUCUGCCGUUGAUACUGGGUGGCUUGAUUGCGGUCGAGGUUGGUGGAAUUCGUUGUGUAGCGGUGAAAUGCAUAGAUAUGACGAAGAACACCGAUUGCGUAGGCAGCUGACCAGACCGCAAAUGACGCUCAUGCACGAAAGUGCGGGGAUCGAACAGGAUUAGAUACCCUGGUAGUCCGCACAGUAAACGAUGAAUACUUGUUUUCGGCGAUAUAAUGUCGGAGGCAAAGCGAAAGCGAUAAGUAUUCCACCUGGGGAGUACGCCGGCAACGGUGAAACUCAAAGGAAUUGACGGGG